rnacentral:rRNA from 1 species
ACUCCUGCGGGAGGCAGCAGUGGGGAAUCUUGCGCAAUGGGCGAAAGCCUGACGCAGCCAUGCCGCGUGAAUGAUGAAGGUCUUAGGAUUGUAAAAUUCUUUCACCGGGGACGAUAAUGACGGUACCCGGAGAAGAAGCCCCGGCUAACUUCGUGCCAGCAGCCGCGGUAAUACGAAGGGGGCUAGCGUUGCUCGGAAUUACUGGGCGUAAAGGGAGCGUAGGCGGACAUUUAAGUCAGGGGUGAAAUCCCGGGGCUCAACCUCGGAAUUGCCUUUGAUACUGGGUGUCUUGAGUAUGAGAGAGGUGUGUGGAACUCCGAGUGUAGAGGUGAAAUUCGUAGAUAUUCGGAAGAACACCAGUGGCGAAGGCGACACACUGGCUCAUUACUGACGCUGAGGCUCGAAAGCGUGGGGAGCAAACAGGAUGAGAAACCCGUGUAGUCCCAUGA